CUGGCGGUGCGCCUUAUGCUGCAAGUCGAGCGAAGCUUUUGAGUAGUUUACUACAGAAAAUGACUGAGCGGCGAACGGGUGAGAAACGCGUGAGCAAUCUACCUUAGUUACAGGGAUAGCCCGAGGAAACUCGGAUUAAUACCUGAUAUUCUUUUUACCUCGCAUGAGAUUUUAAGGAAAGGUCAGCCGAACUAAGAUGAGCUCGCGUUCUAUCAGCUAGUUGGUGAGGUAAUAGCUCACCAAGGCUACGACGGAUAGCUGGUCUGAGAGGACGAUCAGCCACACUGGGACUGAGACACGGCCCAGACUCCUACGGGAGGCUGCAGCAGGGAAUAUUGCGCAAUGAGCGAAAGCUUGACGCAGCGACACCGCGUGUGGGAUGACGGAUCUAGGUUUGUAAACCACUUUCAGGAGGGAAGAAAAUGACGGUACCUCCACAAGAAGCCCCGGCCAACUACGUGCCAGCAGCCGCGGUAAUACGUAGGGGCGAGCGUUGUCCGGAUUUAUUGGGCGUAAAGAGCUCGUAGGCGGUUCAACAAGUCGGUCGUGAAAGUUAAGGCUACCCCUGAAUGUCGAUCGAUACUGUUGUGACUAGGAUACGGUA
rnacentral:rRNA from 1 species